AGUACUACAAGUAGACUCUCUGGGCUGAACAUUGAGUGAGGGGCAUAGACAGAUAUUAGAGUAACUUACUACCAGAGAUUUUGGGGGUUGAGUCAUCAAGAUCUUGAGAGAAAAUGUUUGGCAUUGUAAUUCAGCUGAAGAUUCUGGGAUCCCAAGGGCACCCUAAGGCAUGACUUGGAAACGAAGAUACAGUCAUUCACAAUGACACAUGAUCACGGGCUGACCGGAAGACUUGAGUAUUCAUGAAUUUUGGUAUACAUGGGAGCCCUGGACCUAAUCCCCUGUGUAUACCAACUGUAUUUCUGAAAGAAUAAAUGCUUGUAUUAAACUACA
rnacentral:lncRNA from 1 species